rnacentral:rRNA from 1 species
GCAGUCGAGCGGUAGCACAGGAGAGCUUGCUCUCCGGGUGACGAGCGGCGGACGGGUGAGUAAUGUCUGGGAAACUGCCUGAUGGAGGGGGAUAACUACUGGAAACGGUAGCUAAUACCGCAUAACGUCUACGGACCAAAGUGGGGGACCUUCGGGCCUCACGCCAUCAGAUGUGCCCAGAUGGGAUUAGCUAGUAGGUGGGGUAAUGGCUCACCUAGGCGACGAUCCCUAGCUGGUCUGAGAGGAUGACCAGCCACACUGGAACUGAGACACGGUCCAGACUCCUACGGGAGGCAGCAGUGGGGAAUAUUGCACAAUGGGCGCAAGCCUGAUGCAGCCAUGCCGCGUGUGUGAAGAAGGCCUUAGGGUUGUAAAGCACUUUCAGCGAGGAGGAAGGGUAGUGUGUUAAUAGCACAUUGCAUUGACGUUACUCGCAGAAGAAGCACCGGCUAACUCCGUGCCAGCAGCCGCGGUAAUACGGAGGGUGCAAGCGUUAAUCGGAAUUACUGGGCGUAAAGCGCACGCAGGCGGUUUGUUAAGUCAGAUGUGAAAUCCCCGCGCUUAACGUGGGAACUGCAUUUGAAACUGGCAAGCUAGAGUCUUGUAGAGGGGGGUAGAAUUCCAGGUGUAGCGGUGAAAUGCGUAGAGAUCUGGAGGAAUACCGGUGGCGAAGGCGGCCCCCUGGACAAAGACUGACGCUCAGGUGCGAAAGCGUG